AUGGUCCUCCAACCAGACAAGUGGUUCAUCAAAAGAGUUGACAAGCUCAGGAGAAACUUCCUUUGGGAGUCGGAGGAUGCAUCGGCUGGUGGCAAAAGCCUGGUAAGCUGGGCACGGAUUUGCUCCCCCAAGAAAUAUGGAGGCCUAGGGGUGAAGAACAUCGACUGUUUCAGCAGGGCGCUCCGGUUGCGCUGGGAGUGGUUUAGAUGGGAUGAUGUUGAUCGGCCUUGGAAGGGUUCCCCCACACCAACUGAUGCUGUGGACAAGCAACUUUUCUCGAGCUGCACCUCAAUCCAAGUGGGAGAUGGACGCCUCACAAUCUUCUGGACGGGUCGAUGGCUGUAUGGGGAAGCACUCUGCACUGUCGCGCCGGAGAUUUUUAAGCUUGCCAGGUUCAAGAGACUUUUAGUCAGGGAGGCGUUUGUAACAGGCCGGUGGAUGCAUGGUAUGCAGAGGAUGAACACCGACGCGCAGAUGACUGAAUUCGUCAAGUUGUGGCACUUGCUUCAAACGGUAAUGCUUGCGGAAUUAAAGGAUCAGAUUGGAUGGUCUAUAACUGCAAGUGCAAAAUACUCGGCCUCCGCUGCCUAUGCAAUUCAGUUCGUGGCCAGAAUUGAACAACCGGGGUUGGAAAAGGUCUGGAAGUGCAGAAUGGAGGGCAAGGUUAAAUUCUACAUAUGGCUGCUAUUACAAAACAGAAACUGGACCGCGGAUCGGCUUUGUUCCAGAGGAUGGCCCCACAAUGAAAAAUGCAAAUUAUGUGACCAAGAAGAGGAAACAGCUAUGCACUUAACUCUGCAGUGUUGUUUCGCCAAGGAGGUGUGGUGUCAAAUUCAGAGAACGCAUAGCACAAUGUGCGCUGCCGCAUCAACUGCCUCCUCAAUUGAAGACUGGUGGACUAGGCUCUGCGCCGCCCCGGGUGGGCGGGGCAGGGUCCAUGAGGGGAUCACUUGGGCGGCAUACACCGCUUGGAACUUGUGGAAGGAGCGGAAUAGGCGGGUGUUUGAGCAAAAGGAACUAACGGCGAUAGGGGUUUCAACACUAAUCAAUGAUGAUGUUUCCCUGUACCAAGCAGCAAAGGAGUCUCCCAUAAUUACAGAGAUGUAG
rnacentral:rRNA from 1 species